GAUGAAGAACGUAGCGAAAUGCGAUAAGUAAUGUGAAUUGCAGAAUUCAGUGAAUCAUCGAAUCUUUUAACGCACAUUGCGCCCAUUAGUAUUCUAGUGGGCAUGCCUGUUCGAGCGUCAUUAAGUCCACUUAAGCCCUGCUUAGUGUUGGGAGACUGCUCCAGCGGUGCUACCCUGUAGCUACCCUGCAGCUCCUCAAAGACAGCGGCGGAGUUGUGGUAUCCUCUGAGCUUAGUAACUUGUUCUAGCUUUCGAGUACACCACUUCCCCUGCCGUAAAACCCUUAAUUUUUAAUGGUUGACCUCGGAUCAGGUAGGAAUACCCGCUGAACUUAAGCAUAUCAAUAAGCGGAGGA
rnacentral:misc_RNA from 1 species